rnacentral:siRNA from 1 species
GUGAUUUGUGCUAUAUUACGGACC